UGGCUCAGAUUGAACGCUGGCGGCAGGCCUAACACAUGCAAGUCGAGCGGUAACAUUUCUAGCUUGCUAGAAGAUGACGAGCGGCGGACGGGUGAGUAAUGCUUGGGAACAUGCCUUUAGGUGGGGGACAACCAUUGGAAACGAUGGCUAAUACCGCAUAAUGUCUACGGACCAAAGGGGGCUUCGGCUCUCGCCUUUAGAUUGGCCCAAGUGGGAUUAGCUAGUUGGUGAGGUAAUGGCUCACCAAGGCGACGAUCCCUAGCUGGUUUGAGAGGAUGAUCAGCCACACUGGAACUGAGACACGGUCCAGACUCCUACGGGAGGCAGCAGUGGGGAAUAUUGCACAAUGGGCGCAAGCCUGAUGCAGCCAUGCCGCGUGUGUGAAGAAGGCCUUCGGGUUGUAAAGCACUUUCAGUUGUGAGGAAAGGUUAGUAGUUAAUACCUGCUAGCUGUGACGUUAGCAACAGAAGAAGCACCGGCUAACUCCGUGCCAGCAGCCGCGGUAAUACGGAGGGUGCGAGCGUUAAUCGGAAUUACUGGGCGUAAAGCGUACGCAGGCGGUUUGUUAAGCGAGAUGUGAAAGCCCCGGGCUCAACCUGGGAACUGCAUUUCGAAACUGGCAAACUAGAGUGUGAUAGAG
rnacentral:rRNA from 1 species